rnacentral:rRNA from 1 species
GACGAACGCCGGCGGCAUGCCUAAUACAUGCAAGUCGAGCGAACAGAUGAAGUGCUUGCACUUCUGACGUUAGCGGCGAACGGGUGAGUAACACGUAAGGAAUCUACCUAUAAGCGGGGGAUAACAUUCGGAAACGGGUGCUAAUACCGCAUAAUAUCUUCUUCCGCAUGGAAGAAGAUUGAAAGACGGCUCUGCUGUCACUUAUAGAUGACCUUGCGGUGCAUUAGUUAGUUGGUGGGGUAACGGCCAACCAAGACGAUGAUGCAUAGCCGACCUGAGAGGGUGAUCGGCCACAUUGGGACUGAGACACGGCCCAAACUCCUACGGGAGGCAGCAGUAGGGAAUCUUCCGCAAUGGGCGAAAGCCUGAUGGAGCAAUGCCGCGUGAGUGAAGAAGGCCUUCGGGUCGUAAAACUCUGUUAUAAGAGAAGAACAAAUUGUAGAGUAACUGCUACAGUCUUGACGGUAUCUUGUCAGAAAGCCACGGCUAACUACGUGCCAGCCGCCGCCGUAA